UACGGAGGGUGCGAGCGUUGUCCGGAAUCACUGGGCGUAAAGGGCGCGUAGGCGGCCUGAUAAGUAGGGGGUGAAAUCCUGCGGCUUAACCGCAGGGCUGCCUUCUAGACUGUCAGGCUAGAGCACAGUAGAGGCAGGUGGAAUUCCCGGUGUAGCGGUGGAAUGCGUAGAGAUCGGGAAGAACAUCAGUGGCGAAGGCGACUUCCUGGCCUGUUCUUGACGCUGAGGCGCGAAAGCUAGGGUAGCAAACGGG
rnacentral:rRNA from 1 species